GUUGAAAGGUAAAUCUGCUACUCUGGUGACUCGGUCCCUCUGGUCACUAUUCUCCAACCCUCGAUUGUCAGCUGAAUAUUCAGGGAAGAUUUUUAUGGAAGCGUAUUAACCAGACACACACUUUUUGCUCUCCAUAAUCUUCUGAUCGUUUAUUCAAGAUUCGCUAUAUUUAUACUAUACUUGUCACGAAUAUUGGUUACAAAAGGUUACAAAAAGGUUACAAAAAGGUUACACAAGAUACAUAAAAGAGGAAGUAGUUUCUGCUGUUACAUUCAAUAAUCUAAUCUUACAAAAUAUCACAUAUACAUUGUGGUUAGGCAUUUCCUGAUACAUAGAAACUGUCAUAGCUUGUGACUUCCUUUCAAUUAUGUUUUGCAAGCAGUUCUGAAAUACUGACAGAUUAAUUGUUUAACCCCUUAAGGACCAGAUUUCUGGAAUAAAAGGGAAUCAUGACAUGUCAUGUGUCCUUAAGGGGUCAAUAUUCCUUCAUUUCCCCCUCUUUGAGCAAUAUCUUGCUCAUACCCUAUUUAAGGAGUCCUGGUCAGACAACCAGCCAUCUGCCAUGGUAUAUUCAGGAUUGCUAGCCAAUCCUGCAGGUCUUUCAUUAUGUCUUCGGCCACUAUUCCCAUGGCAUAGGACUAGGCAUCUGACCAGCACCACAAACUUAUAGAUCUGUAUCAGUAUGUUCACCAUUGCUUCGGUUAUGUGUAUACAUUUGGAGAUACUCAUCAUUUCAAGCUGGGGAUUUUACAGGAACAGUGUUGCUUGUAUGUUUGUAAAUGCAGAAUACAAUAAUCUUGAAAAUAGCAUAAACAAGUAGAGCAAGGAUCAGAACCAUAACAAUAAGUAUUGCAAUAUUCUUUAGCCAGUCUAGGAUACUGUCAAACUUAAACAUAUCUGCCCAUGGGUGAUCAAUACCUGAAUUCCUCUUCAUUUCUAUGGAUAGGUCUUCCAAUUUCUUUAUAGCUAGGGUUACUUUACCAUUAGAGCCAGUGUUCUCUGGAAUAUAGGUACAACAAACACCGGAGUCAAGUAAUUUACAGACUCCUCCCUUUUCUCCUAAAACCAUAUCAAGGGCCAUUCUAUUCUGGAAAGUCAUUUGUGAGGUAGCCUGUAAUUGUUCAGCAAGACCUUGUAAUGCAUCUCGUGUAUAAUUUACAAAUCUUUGCUGAUUAUAAUAUAUAUAAUUAAUCCAGUUAACAUUCUUGUUAGCUGUUAUAAUAGGAAAUAUUGAUUCAAAUCCUGCUGCCACCUCGUCUCUAGCUUUAAAUUCAUUAGGGACCCCUCUUGGAAUACCAAUGGCAUCUAGAUAGAUAUGUGGGUCGAAACUACCUUGUGGGGAUUCCCUUUUCCUUCUUGUGGAAUCAGUUACAACCUUAAUUUCAGGGAGAGAGUCGCCAAAUAUAUGGAGGGGCAUGAUUAUUUUGGCUGGGGCACAUUCUCCUCUCCAGGGGGUGGGGAGUCUAGAACGUAUUUUUUAUAUAGAUUGUGUUUGAUUCACUAAGGUAAUAUUACUGUAGGCGGAGCAGAAUCCUGAAGAAAAGUUAUCAAAUUGUGUACCCACCUUACCAUUAUUAUUUCCCUGAAAACAAGUAUAAUUACCAGGAUAUACUGGGACAACAUCAUUUAAAUUAAACUUGGGUUCACCAAUAGGGUGACCCUUUUUCCAUUCUUCACAUUCUGUAGUAUUAACAGUGAUACCUGAAAACAAACUUAGGAAACAUUCCCAGUACUCAUCAGGGACAUGUAAGGGUACAGUUCCUAGAUGAGGUCUGGCACUACCACAUACAUAACAGUUUGACCUAUUGUUGGAAUGGGCAUUAUAUCUCAACCAUUCCAGCCAUAGGUUUGUAUCUGCAUACCCUGUUUCUAAAGCUAUGGUAUCUCCAAACGUGGGAUCUGCUAUGGCCAUCAUAUCACCAAGGGUUUGAAUGUGGGGCUUUAGAGGAUUAACAAGAGUUUGUCUAGAGGUGAGGCUUUCCCAUUUUGAGGAGUUCCAUAUAUCUUUUAACUGGAUUUUUCCUCGAUUACCUCCAAUACCUCCUCUUAAAAAGGUACUGAGAAUAUAAAUACCUUGAUCUCCAGGACUGGGGUUUUCAAUAUUUAAGGUAAAUUUCAUGGAGUGCCCAGUUUGCCCUAUAGAGGUACAUGUACCUGGCUUUGUUAAGGUCAUUCUAGUCAAGAGGGACUUCCCAUUCGUAUCCUUUUUAUCUAAUGCAUUCUGUGGCUUAUAACCCCAAUGUGUCCCGGUGUUCCAUCCAACUGAGCCCCAAUAAUCACAAUUGUUACCCCUCUUUGAGCAAUAUAUAUUGCUCAUAUCAUCGGUUAACAUUCUCCCAAGACAGAGAAAUGUCCAGAUUAUGGCAUUCCCAAGCAAUCAUGUGGUCUACAAGAAACAGAAACUCAGCAGAAAAAAAAACAAAACAAAAACCACUUAAUACUUUUGCAGACAGAUAUAUAGAAAAUGGAUGUUUAAGACAGAAUGGAACUUGGGCUUAUAGCAACUAUAUUUUUGCACAACCAGGACCUUGCGUCCUAUAUCUUUUAACCAUUUCCCUAUUCCAAAAGUCCAGUCAAAGCCAGUCAUAUCCUCACGCAGUUCCUCAAAACAUGGGAAUCCAUCCCUGGCACACUCAACAUAUCAAAAACACACAUAGUACAUCCAUCCCUGGGUCAGCUAACACUUCCUCUCUCUCCGGCUAACUCUACAAAAAUAAAAAUAAAAAUAGUUCAAUAGUUCAGCAUAGUUCAGAAAAAUAGAAUAAGUCUUUCACAGAGUAUAAAGAAAUCAGUUUAGACACCAGACAUUUUGUUCCAUAAAAAUGGCUAAGGGUAGCAAUAUGGCUGACAACAAGACAAUGUCAGCUUCCAAAUAGUUCUUAGUUCUUCUUUUGUUUGCUGGAUUUUCACCACAAAGCUCUGUGCAACACCCCAAAGGUUGAAAGGGUUAUUACAGAACCAGCGGCAUUAGACAGCACUGCACCUUCAGGACUUUCCAGGUUCUUGCGUGCAAAGUUUAUGUCCUCAUAAAUAAGUAUCUCAGUUUCUUCGGCCUGCAUGGAUAAUGACCAAACAGAUGUAAUUGCAAAAUACUUAUUGCAUGGUCAACCGGAGAGAUUGAUGUGUAGUCCCAGAAAUCAGGCGGCACAAACACUCCAGGACGGUCUCUACAAUCAUACAAACACAAGGAUCAAUACAACAUUAAUUAAUUACCUAGGCUAAAACUUAAAUUAGAGAUUAAGGUUAAACCCUUAAUUUGUGUAACAUGUACUUCUCUUAUAAUUUAUGCAAUCUGUCUUCUAUGAAGUUUUACAUUAUACCCCUUUGGAAUGCCUUUGUACGGAUGAGAGUAGCACUCACUCUAUAGAAAUCCUUGUUAGGAUGAAUAUUAAAACACUAACAUAUACAUAUGGGGAUAAUUCCCAAUAAAACUCUGUUCCUAAACUGGAACCUUGAUUUGAUAUUCAAAAUUAAUUACUUUAAUAAUCCCGAAUAAUUCAAUACUCUUGGAUUAAUACCUAAAACCAUAUAAAAUAUUACAAACAUGAACCAUCUGUGUAUUAUGCUGUGGUUGUUGGGUGUGGGUAUAGGUUGGAAGCUAUGGUUGGUAUUGAGGAAUCUGUGGGGGUGGGUUUGGGCACUCAUUUUUCCAGUGACCCUGCUAUCCACAAUUAGAACAGUGUGUUCCACCAAUGCUGAAGUUGUUACAAAAGUUAGACCCUUUGACCAAAUCCUCUACCUCUGCCUUUAUUCCAUAUGCAGGAUGGGAUUACCUAAC